rnacentral:tRNA from 1 species
GAGGUCUUAGCUUAAUGAAAGUGUCUGAGUUGCAUUCAGGAGAUGUGAGAUAAAGUCUUGCAGAUCUUA